GACGUAGGGCGCAAGCGUUGUCCGGAAUUAUUGGGCGUAAAGAGCUCGUAGGCGGCUUGUUGCGUCGACUGUGAAAACCCGUGGCUCAACCAUAUGGUCUGCAGUCGAUACGGGCAGGCUAGAAUUCGGUAGGGGAGACUGGAAUUCCUGGUGUAGCGGUGAAAUGCGCAGAUAUCAGGAGGAACACCGAUGGCGAAGGCAGGUCUCUGGGCCGAUAUUGACGCUGAGGAGCGAAAGCGUGGGGAGCGAACAGG
rnacentral:rRNA from 1 species